GGUGCCGUGGCUUAGUCGGUUAAAGUGCCUGCCUAGUAAACAGGAGAUCCUGGGUUUGAAUCUCAGCGGUGCCU
rnacentral:tRNA from 1 species